rnacentral:rRNA from 1 species
AAUGCCACACUCCGGGAACAAUAUUCAGCUCUAUAUAAUAUUGUUCGUCGUAAGGGUGAUACUAUCGCCACGGUUCUGGAAUCCUUUCCUUCGAAUGUGACGUUCAGACGAGAUUUAAUAGGCCCCAGACUUGCAUUGCGGAACAAUUUGAUAAAUCGCCUCGCCAGGGUACAUUUAUCACAAGGCCAUGAUGCAUUUCAGUGGAAUCUAAAUGCUAGUGGUAAAUCCUCGGUAGAUCAAAUGUAUAGAGCGUUGGUCUAG